UUUUUGACGCCGCCAUUAGAGUUACAUACGGCAAUUUAAAAUCAUGUUCAUAAUCAUAAAUUUCACAAUUGCAACUGUGACAUAAGAAGUGUCGUCAACAUUUGCUCACGGACUUUUUUAAAAGAUGAUCGAUAUGUAGAUUAUACCGCUUUAAAAAUGGGUUUUAUAAACUAUGACUUUUAUGUUUAAAAGAAGAUAGAGUGAGUGUUGGUUUUAUUUCUUUUGCAAUUUUUAAUAUUGUCAUAAAUUAUUGACCAAGUAUUAGUUGCAAACAAUUCAUCAGGAGAAUCUCGAUAGUUGAACUGAGGUGUAAAUUAAAUCCAACAAUCGAGAUUUGACUUGAUUGAAUAAAUGCACAUGAUUAUAACUAGUUGCAAACUGCAAUUUAAAACUUCGAUAUUUUUUUGUUAGCUUAUUUGAUUAUGCAAUUUGAUCAUGUAUUAAUGAGGUACUAAUAUUUUUGACAGUGUGUUUUGCUGUGCCACAGGCGUGACAAUGGCUCUACAAGCUCCAAUUCCUCAUCGUUAGAGACUCAUAUAUCAUAUCAAUGAUCUCAAAAAAAAAAAUCACUAGCUGUGUCAAAACUUCCCAAGUUAUUGCUUCUUGAAGUCUCUUAUAUCAUCAAUCAACCUUUGGCCUAACCAUGGUCUCUCAUCCUUCACACACACACACUCUUUUCACUAACACCAAAGAAAAAAGUCCAUCAAUGGAAUUUGGGCUUUUCCACUCAUCAUCAUCAUAGGCCCCCCAUAGGGGCCCAAAGGUUUCCUCUCCAUAUAAUUUGGAGAGUCAUGCUCAUGCAUUAUCCCAUAUUUUCAAGAAAAAAAAGUUGCAUUGGUUCCUUGAAGAGAACCAAAAUGUUUAAUCACCAACAAAAGCUAUAGGAAAUAGCUUUAAGUUGGGAAAAAAAUGGAAAAACUUAGCCCUUGGAAAGGCUAAACCAAAAAAAAAAAAAAAUCAUCUUAUUAAUUAACUUAGCCCAUGGGGGGCAAAGUGAAAGUAAUAAAGAAUGGUUUUUCAAAAAUUGUAAAUUGAAGAAUCUCACAAAUAGGUAUAGCUCAUCAAUUUGAAAUUAAGCUAGUUUUGUAGAAAUAGGUAUCCCCUUUGAUUAAUUGCUAAUCACACCUCUUUGGAUAAAGAGGAAAAUUUAGCAAUUAAGGGACAUUGGAUGUCCCAUCUUUUUUGUAUGGUAACAUCUAGCUAUAGUGUUAUAGUCUUUAGUGUUAAUUAGGAUUAGGAUUAGGAUAAGUCAUGUUUAUCAAAUUAAUUUUUAUAAAAAGAAGGGUUUAACCAACCAACAAAUUAACCAUCUUUCCUUUGGGUAAGGAGAGAAAAUAACUUUUUUUUUCUUUAUGUAAAUUCAUUGUGGCUAAACUAUGGGAGUUUAAGCCCAAUUUAGUUAUUUUUAGGAGGGAAGUAAUUUUUUUACUUUCCAAAUUAGCAUAUAUGUAGUACAUUUCAUCAUCAUUUUGAGACCUACAUCAAUAGAAUGUGGAACUCAAAAACACUUGCAUAUGUAAUCUAGGGAGAUAUUUGGCUUCCCUUGGGUUACUUCACUUUGCUCACCAACCAUGGUUAGGGACAUAGGUGAAUUAAUGAGAAUCUCAUCAUCACUCUUACUUUGUUUCUCUCUAUCUCUCCAUUUCUCAAUCCUCUUCAUUUCUCUUCCUUUCUCUAUGGCAACUUUUAAAUUGAGAUGGACCUUAAUUAAUACUCUUUUAAUUUUAUGUUUAAGCCUAUAUGGUAUUUGGAUUGUAAUUAGGAAAUCUAAAGUAGGAGGAUUAAUUCAUUCCCUAUCCAUAUGCUGGAUGAGAAUGGAUUUACUACUUAUUCUACUAUGCCUUUAAUUUCUUAUAUUAUGUUUGCAUCAAUCAACAUGUGUCAAGAAGUUAAUGCUUUCAAGCAAUGUUAAUCUUUUUGUUAUAUGUCAAUUGAUGAUUUUCCUUAGUUUUACUUUUUUUCUUCAUAUAUAUAUAAAAUAUUUAUCGAAGGAGGGUGAUGGAAUCAGUCUAAUAAUU
rnacentral:lncRNA from 1 species